rnacentral:rRNA from 1 species
UAGGGAAUCUUCCACAAUGGACGCAAGUCUGAUGGAGCAACGCCGCGUGAGUGAAGAAGGUCUUCGGAUCGUAAAGCUCUGUUGUUGGUGAAGAAGGAUAGAGGCAGUAACUGGUCUUUAUUUGACGGUAAUCAACCAGAAAGUCACGGCUAACUACGUGCCAGCAGCCGCGGUAAUACGUAGGUGGCAAGCGUUGUCCGGAUUUAUUGGGCGUAAAGCGAGCGCAGGCGGAAUGGUAAGUCUGAUGUGAAAGCCCACGGCUCAACCGUGGAACUGCAUCGGAAACUGUCAUUCUUGAGUGCAGAAGAGGAGAGUGGAACUCCAUGUGUAGCGGUGGAAUGCGUAGAUAUAUGGAAGAACACCAGUGGCGAAGGCGGCUCUCUGGUCUGCAACUGACGCUGAGGCUCGAAAGCAUGGGUAGCGAACAG